rnacentral:rRNA from 1 species
AGAUUGAACGCUGGCGGCAGGCCUAACACAUGCAAGUCGGGCGGCAGCACGGGUACUUGUACCUGGUGGCGAGCGGCGGACGGGUGAGUAAUGCCUAGGAAUCUGCCUGGUAGUGGGGGAUAACGCUCGGAAACGGACGCUAAUACCGCAUACGUCCUACGGGAGAAAGCAGGGGACCUUCGGGCCUUGCGCUAUCAGAUGAGCCUAGGUCGAUUAGCUUAGUUGGUGAGGUAAUGGCUCACCAAGGCGACGAUCCGUAACUGGUCUGAGAGGAUGAUCAGUCACACUGGAACUGAGACACGGUCCAGACUCGUACGGG